rnacentral:rRNA from 1 species
AUUGAACGCUGGCGGCAGGCCUAACACAUGCAAGUCGAGCGAGCGGCGGACGGGUGAGUAAUGUAUGGGGACUGCCCGAUAGAGGGGGAUAACUACUGGAAACGGUAGCUAAUACCGCAUACUAUCGGAUAACCCAUAUGGGAUUAGCUAGUAGGUGAGGUAAUGGCUCACCUGGGCGACGAUCCCUAGCUGGUCUGAGAGGUGGAUCAGCCAGACUGGGACGGAGACACGGCCCAGACUCCUACGGAGGCAGCAGUGGGGAAGAUUGGACAAUGGGCGAAAGCCUGAUGCAGCCAGGCCGCGUGUAUGAAGAAGGCCCUAGGGUUGUAAAGUACUUUCAGUAGGGAGGCGUUACCGACAGAAGAAGGACCGGCUAACUCCGUGCCAGCAGCCGCGGUAAUAC